CUCUAACAAGCAUAUAACACCUCAUCCACCAGAUAAGCCCUAAUCGUGGCACAUACGCUUUUUUCCAAGGACACUUACUGCUUAUCAGUCAUCCCCUCCGACCUAUCCUCCAAGGCCGAAUCCAAUUCCAUAUAUACCCACAGAUCCUCCACCCUCACCUUCCAUAUUGUGAAACUCUCCUUUUCAUCAAAUUUAUCAAAUUUGACUUUCACCCCGCUGCUUUUCAUGAUUAAUCCAAAUCACACAGUAUAAAGGUAGAUCUGAAAAAUACCUAAUAAGGGAUGGUGGACAGCAACCCCC
rnacentral:lncRNA from 1 species